rnacentral:rRNA from 1 species
GCCCUACACGACCGUACCGCAAACCGACACUGGUGCGCGAGAUGAGUAUUCUAAGGCGCUUGAGAGAACUCGGGAGAAGGAACUCGGCAAAUUGACACCGUAACUUCGGAAGAAGGUGUGCCUUUAGUAGGUGAAGGGAUUUACUCCUGGAGCCCAAUGAGGUUGCAAAAAAUCGGUGGCUGCGACUGUUUAUUAAAAACACAGCACUCUGCAAACACGAAAGUGGACGUAUAGGGUGUGACGCCUGCCCGGUGCUGGAAGAUUAAAUGAUGGGGUGCAAGCUCUUGAUUGAAGUCCCAGUAAACGGCGGCCGUAACUAUAACGGUCCUAAGGUAGCGAAAUUCCUUGUCGGGUAAGUUCCGACCUGCACGAAUGGCGUAACGAUGGCCACACUGUCUCCUCCCGAGACUCAGCGAAGUUGAAAUGUUUGUGAUGAUGCAAUCUCCCCGCGGAAAGACGGAAAGACCCCAUGAACCUUUACUGUAGCUUUGUAUUGGACUUUGAACAGAUCUGUGUAGGAUAGGUGGGAGGCUUUGAAGCAGGGUCGCUAGAUCUUGUGGAGCCAACGUUGAAAUACCACCCUGGUGUGUUUGAGGUUCUAACCUAGGUCCAUUAUCUGGAUCGGGGACAGUGCAUGGUAGGCAGUUUGACUGGGGCGGUCUCCUCCCAAAGCGUAACGGAGGAGUUCGAAGGUACGCUAGGUACGGUCGGACAUCGUGCUAAUAGUGCAAUGGCAUAAGCGUGCUUAACUGCGAGACUGACAAGUCGAGCAGAUGCGAAAGCAGGACAUAGUGAUCCGGUGGUUCUGUAUGGAAGGGCCAUCGCUCAACGGAUAAAAGGUACUCUGGGGAUAACAGGCUGAUACCGCCCAAGAGUUCAUAUCGACGGCGGUGUUUGGCACCUCGAUGUCGGCUCAUCUCAUCCUGGGGCUGUAGCCGGUCCCAAGGGUAUGGCUGUUCGCCAUUUAAAGAGGUACGUGAGCUGGGUUUAAAACGUCGUGAGACAGUUUGGUCCCUAUCUUCCGUGGGCGCUGCAGAUUUGAGGAAGCCUGCUCCUAGUACGAGAGGACCGGAGUGGACGCACCUCUGGUGUAUCGGUUGUCACGCCAGUGGCAUUGCCGAGUAGCUAUGUGCGGAAGAGAUAACCGCUGAAAGCAUCUAAGCGGGAAACUCGUUUCAAGAUGAGAUCUGCCGGGGCCUUGAGCCCCCUAAAGAGUCGUUCAAGACCAGGACGUUGAUAGGUCAGGUGUGGAAGCGCAGUAAUGCGUUAAGCUAACUGAUACUAAUUGCUCGUGCGGCUUGACCCU